UACGGAGGAUGCGAGCGUUAUCCGGAUUUAUUGGGUUUAAAGGGUGCGUAGGCGGGCUUUUAAGUCAGCGGUGAAAAUUCGGGGCUCAACCCCGUCCGGCCGUUGAAACUGGGGGUCUUGAGUGGGCGAGAAGAAGGCGGAAUGCGUGGUGUAGCGGUGAAAUGCAUAGAUAUCACGCAGAACCCCGAUUGCGAAGGCAGCCUUCCGGCGCCCUACUGACGCUGAGGCACGAAAGUGCGGGGAUCGAACAGG
rnacentral:rRNA from 1 species